GACGAACGCUGGCGGCGCGCCUAACACAUGCAAGUCGAACGGAGUCAAGAGGAGCUUGCUCUUCUUGACUUAGUGGCGAACGGGUGAGUAACGUGUGAGUAACCUGCCCUGGAGUGGGGGACAACAGUUGGAAACGACUGCUAAUACCGCAUAAGCCCACGGCUCUGCAUGGAUCUGCGGGAAAAGGAUUUAUUCGCUUCAGGAUGGACUCGCGUUCACUUCGCUAGGUGGUGAGGUAACGGCGCACCAAGGCGACGAUUGGUAGCCGGACUGAGAGGUUGAUCGGCCACAUUGGGACUGAGACACGGCCCAGACUCCUACGGGAGGCAGCAGUGGGGGAUAUUGCGCAAUGGGGGAAAGCCUGAUGCAGCGACGCCGCGUGGAGGAAGAAGGUUUUCGGAUUGUAAACUCCUGUCGUUAGGGACGAUAAUGACGGUACCUAGAGAGAAAGCACCGGCUAACUACGUG
rnacentral:rRNA from 1 species